rnacentral:rRNA from 1 species
UACGGAGGUGGCAAGCGUUGCUCGGAAUUACUGGGCGUAAAGGGCGCGUAGGCGGCCUGCUAAGUCGGACGUGAAAUCCCCCGGCUCAACCGGGGAACUGCGUCCGAUACUGGUGGGCUCGAAUCCGGGAGAGGGAUGUGGAAUUCCAGGUGUAGCGGUGAAAUGCGUAGAUAUCUGGAGGAACACCGGUGGCGAAGGCGGCAUCCUGGACCGGUAUUGACGCUGAGGCGCGAAAGCCAGGGGAGCAAACGGG